rnacentral:lncRNA from 1 species
AGUUUCAAGUUAUUCGGUGACCAAGCGAUAGCCACCACUCGAUUCUCCGAAUCCUGCGGUCCGAUUCAACGGAUUAUAAUAGGAGUUUAACGAUAAAAAAUUUAAUUGCCCAUAUACAAGUAUAACCUGAGCUAUUCGAGCGAUGCUCGCAGCGCACGAGGGACUAAAAAGUGCAUACUCACGUGCGACGGCAAGACCGAUGCCAAGUGCUUCAGGAGCAUCUUCCCUCAUCUUAUUAGCCCCGACUAGUCCAGGGUCACUGUCUCGCGAUUCCAACCUCGGAGAAGCUCGCUGACGGCUGACGGCUAUCGAGCCUCUGUAGCAAAGGCGAACCUCGCGCAGCGCUAAACUUUUGUGUGAUGCGCCAGGAGUUGCUAAGCGACUGUAGGUUGACAAAAAUCUAUUCAGCCGUUCUGCGCCAUUCGCGGGGAGAAAGAUAACUCGCUCGCGCUACGCAGUUUCGAGGAUAUAUAGACGAUUGCAGCCAAAUCGACGAUGCAGCGACUGGUUGUUCAUCAAUUCUAUGAUGAUGAUCGAUAUAUUAUGCAUUGAUUCUCACUAUCGUCACUUUGGAUGAAUUUUAAAAUUGAAUUGUCGCGAAUCUUCAAAGAAAAUUAAAAAAAAAAGAAAAAAUGGAGAGGAAAGGAAAAAAAUGUGGUCCGCCCCUACUUCACCACGACACCUUCCCCGAAUUACCACCCUAUGAUCUAAAUCUAAGUCUUAGCCUAUAACUUAAAAUUACAACUAUUUACAUUCUUUCGUGUGUAGCUGUAUAAUGAGGGUGGAAUUUGAAAAGGGUGCCAGAGAGAUUCAAACUCCCAAGCUUUUGGCUAGAACUCUGUGGUCUUAAGCACAGGUCAUUUUCCAUCGUAUUGACGUCAUUAGCUUAUAGUCGGGACGUAAACAAAGUCAGCUGCGACGAUGGACAGCGUUGCGCGAGAGUCGCUGAUAGUCCGGGCGCUGGUGCCAUCUGAGUGUAAAUUUCGAGUUCCCCUCAGUAAGCUGGAGUUUUUCGGUAUGUUUUUGGGAUGCUGAAUCGAAAUUUGUUGGUUACGAAGCCCGAAACCCGUCAGUUUUUUGUUGUUAUAUAAACAAAUCACUGAUUUGCAAUAAACAAAUAAUCGUUAUUUGCAAUUGAAAAAAACAAUCAGUUACGUUAUUUAGGUAUUUUUUAAUCGAAAGUGCUCUUAGAACUUUUUCCGUAAAAAGCAUACUUUUUGAGUUAAAAAUCGUUGAAUUUUUAGAUUUCACGCGAGUGAACGGGAACAACAGCUCGAAAAAUCUCGGCAAAUCGUAUUUUGUGAAAACUCUAUUGAUUUUUAACUCAAAAAGUAUGCGUUUUACGGAAAAAGUUCUAAGAGCACUUUCGAUUCAGAAAUACCUAAAUAAUGUAACUAAAUUUUUUUCAAUUGCAAAUAAGUAAUUUGUUUGUAACAAAAGACUGACGGGUUUCGGGCUUCGUAACCAAAAACUUUCGAUUCAGCAUCCCAAAAAACAUAGAAAAGCUCCAGGUUACUGGGGGGAACUCGAAAUUUACACUAAGAUGGUACCAGCACCCGGACUAUGACCCCCGCGCGACGUCGAGGACUUGUGACUAUGUACAGAUU